ACUCACAGUGAGGGCUGAUGUUUCCUCUUGUUUCUUCUCAGGGCCUUCUUCUUGAGCACCGAGAAAAAGAAUUUGGAGACAAAGUAAACCUAGUUUCUGUUCUGGAAGCUGCUAGGAAGAUCCAACCACAGACUUCGGCCUCAGAGACCAAGUGAUUGCCCAAUAAGGCAAAAACAGCCCCCACACGAUUGAUGGAAACUGAGGGUUAAUUCAGCUGAAACCUGGAAAAUAAGAAGCUUCCUGUUGACCGUUGCUCCUCCUCACAGAUGUACACGGUGCGUGAGUGCUGUUAGUUACAGUGGUUUUUAUUUCCGUGUUUUUGAGAAUCUAAGAAAAGUUGAUGAUUGACUUAAAGAUUCAGAAUAUAAAGGUUUCAGGCUUGUGUGUUCCCCAUUAAUGACCUGUUACACACCGUUUAAGUAAUACUCUUGUAAAGGAAUUGAAGUGCCUGGGGUGGCGUGAUAAAAGUAAAUUAUAAAGUGAAAUCUAUGUUUUUCAUUGUCUCCCGUUCUAACCUUGGAGGUUUGUUUUCCUAGAAGAAAUGAUCAUCUCCAGCUCUAAUAAAAUGAUGUAUCAGAAAUUGCCUGUAAUAUAAGUCUUUCUGAUAAAACUAACAAUAAAAAUAUCAUGGUCGUGA